rnacentral:rRNA from 1 species
CCAUCCUCCAAGGCUAAAUACUCCUGACUGACCGAUAGUGAACCAGUACCGUGAGGGAAAGGCGAAAAGAACCCCGGCGAGGGGAGUGAAAAAGAACCUGAAACCGUGUACGUACAAGCAGUGGGAGCACCUUCGGGUGUGACUGCGUACCUUUUGUAUAAUGGGUCAGCGACUUAUAUUCUGUAGCAAGGUUAACCGUAUAGGGGAGCCGCAGGGAAACCGAGUCUUAACUGGGCGUUAAGUUGCAGGGUAUAGACCCGAAACCCGGUGAUCUAGCCAUGGGCAGGUUGAAGGUUGGGUAACACUAACUGGAGGACCGAACCGACUAAUGUUGAAAAAUUAGCGGAUGACUUGUGGCUGGGGGUGAAAGGCCAAUCAAACCGGGAGAUAGCUGGUUCUCCCCGAAAGCUAUUUAGGUAGCGCCUCGUGAACUCAUCUUCGGGGGUAGAGCACUGUUUCGGCUAGGGGGUCAUCCCGACUUACCAACCCGAUGCAAACUACGAAUACCGAAGAAUGUUAUCACGGGAGACACACGGCGGGUGCUAACGUCCGUCGUGAAGAGGGAAACAACCCAGACCGCCAGCUAAGGUCCCAAAGUCAUGGUUAAGUGGGAAACGAUGUGGGAAGGCACAGACAGCCAGGAUGUUGGCUUAGAAGCAGCCAUCAUUUAAAGAAAGCGUAAUAGCUCACUGGUCGAGUCGGCCUGCGCGGAAGAUGUAACGGGGCUAAACCAUGCACCGAAGCUGCGGCAGCGACACUAUGUGUUGUUGGGUAGGGGAGCGUUCUGUAAGCCUGCGAAGGUG